CCUACGGGAGGCAGCAGUGAGGAAUAUUGGUCAAUGGACGCAAGUCUGAACCCGCCACGCCGCGUGCAUGAAGACGGCCCUAUGAUUUGAAAACUGUUUUUGCACGAGGGCAAAUGCCGAUACGCGCAUCUGUCUGAACGUAUCGUACGACUCAGGACCGGCUAACUCCGUGCCAGCAGCCGAGGUAAUACGGAGGAUCCAAGCGUUCUCCGGAUUUAUUGGGUUUAAUGGGUGCGUAGGCGGUCGGUUAAGUUAGAGGUGAAUUCCCGGGGCUCAACUGGGGAAGUGCCGCUGAAACUGUGAGGCUAGAGAGGAGUAGAGGAGGGCGGAAGGUAUGGUGUAGCGGGGAAAUGCGUAGAGAUCA
rnacentral:rRNA from 1 species